rnacentral:rRNA from 1 species
CCUACGGGAGGCAGCAGUGGGGAAUAUUGCACAAUGGGGGAAACCCUGAUGCAGCAACGCCGCGUGAAGGAAGACGGUUUUCGGAUUGUAAACUUCUAUCAAUAGGGAAGAAAGAAAUGACGGUACCUAAAUAAGAAGCCCCGGCUAACUACGUGCCAGCAGCCGCGGUAAUACGUAGGGGGCAAGCGUUAUCCGGAUUUACUGGGUGUAAAGGGAGAGUAGGCGGCAAGGUAAGCGAUAGGUGAAAGCGUUAAGCUAAACUUAAGGAUGGCUUACGAACCUGCUAGCUAGAGUACAGGAGAGGAAAGCGGAAUUCCUAGUGUAGCGGUGAAAUGCGUAGAUAUUAGGAAGAACACCAGUGGCGAAGGCGGCUUUCUGGACUGAAACUGACGCUGAGGCUCGAAAGCGUGGGGAGCGAACAGGAUUAGAUACCCGGGUAGUC